AAAUGAAUAGACGGGGGCUCGCACAAGCGGUGGAUCAUGUGGCUUAAUUCGUAGCUAAGCGAAAAACCUUACCAAGGCUAGAAACUAUACUGCACGCUCCGGGAAACCGGAGAAGCCUUCGAGGGUGUAUAGCAGGUGAUGCAUGGCCGUCGUCAGUUCGUGGCUUGAGCUGUUCCCUUAAGUGGGGAAACGAACGCAACCCUCGUUGCCUGUUACAAGUGUCAGGCGAGACUGCUCCCUCACGGGAGAGGAAGGUGAGGAUGACGCCAGGUCAGCAUGUCCCUUGAUGCCUUGGGCUGCACACGUGAUACAAUGGGUGGUACAAUGGGACGCAAUACCGCAAGGUGGAGCAAAUCCCCAAAACCAUCCUCAAUUCGGAUUGGGGUCUGCAACUCGACCCCAUGAAGCUGGAAUCGCUAGUAAUCGUGAAUCAGCAUCGUCACGGUGAAUACGUUCCCGAGCCUUGUACACACCGCCCGU
rnacentral:rRNA from 1 species